GACGAACGCUGGCGGCGCGCCUAACACAUGCAAGUCGAACGGAGUGGCGAACGGCUGAGUAACACGUGGGCAACCUGUCCUCCUCUUGGGGAUAGCCUCGGGAAACCGGGAGAAUACCCGAUAGAGAAGGAUGGCCCGCGGCCUGUUAGCUUGUUGGUGGGGUAGAGGCCUACCACGGCAAUGAUGGGUAGAGGGGUUGAGAGACGGACCAGGGAGAUGGCGACUAAGAGAGGGCCCAGAGUUGAACGGGAGGCAGCGGUGGGGAACCUUGCACAGUGGGGGAGAGCGUGAGGCGACGGCGCCGGGUGCGGGAAGAAGGCCUUCGGGUGGUAAACCGCUUUCAGCAGGGACGCGGUACCUGCAGAAGAAGCCCCGGCUAACUACGUGCCAGCAGCCGCGGUAAUUC
rnacentral:rRNA from 1 species